rnacentral:rRNA from 2 species
CUAAGUAUAAGCAAUUAUACAGCGAAACUGCGAAUGGCUCAUUAAAUCAGUUAUCGUUUAUUUGAUAGUACCUUACUACUUGGAUAACCGUGGUAAUUCUAGAGCUAAUACAUGCUAAAAACCCCGACUCACGAAGGGGUGUAUUUAUUAGAUUAAAAACCAAUGCCCUUCGGGGCUCUUUGGUGAUUCAUAAUAACUUUUCGAAUCGCAUGGCCUUGCGCCGGCGAUGGUUCAUUCAAAUUUCUGCCCUAUCAACUUUCGAUGGCAGGGUCUUGGCCUGCCAUGGUUACAACGGGUAACGGAGGGUUAGGGCUCGACCCCGGAGAAGGAGCCUGAGAAACGGCUACUACAUCCAAGGAAGGCAGCAGGCGCGCAAAUUACCCAAUCCCGAUUCGGGGAGGUAGUGACAAUAAAUACUGAUACAGGGCUCUUUUGGGUCUUGUAAUUGGAAUGAGUACAAUUUAAAUCCCUUAACGAGGAACAAUUGGAGGGCAAGUCUGGUGCCAGCAGCCGCGGUAAUUCCAGCUCCAAUAGCGUAUAUUAAAGUUGUUGCAGUUAAAAAGCUCGUAGUUGAACCUUGGGCCUGGCUGGCCGGUCCGCCUCACCGCGUGCACUGGUUCGGCCGGGCCUUUCCCUCUGGGGAACCUCAUGGUCUUCACUGAUCGUGAUGGGGAACCAGGACUUUUACUGUGAAAAAAUUAGAGUGUUCAAAGCAGGCCUAUGCUCGAAUACAUUAGCAUGGAAUAAUAAAAUAGGACGUGUGGUUCUAUUUUGUUGGUUUCUAGGACCGCCGUAAUGAUUAAUAGGGACAGUCGGGGGCAUCAGUAUUCAAUUGUCAGAGGUGAAAUUCUUGGAUUUAUUGAAGACUAACUACUGCGAAAGCAUUUGCCAAGGAUGUUUUCAUUAAUCAGGAACGAAAGUUAGGGGAUCGAAGACGAUCAGAUACCGUCGUAGUCUUAACCAUAAACUAUGCCGACUAGGGAUCGGACGGUGUUACUUAUUGACCCGUUCGGCACCUUACGAGAAAUCAAAGUCUUUGGGUCU